CAUUCACCCUCUGAACUCCAUCAUAAUUCAGUCAGAUUCAUCGGCGUCAUCUUAAGAUCGAGAAUCGUUGGAAAUGUCUACGUUUAGUGGCGAUGAGUCCGCUCGUUUCUUCGGCUUCAUCGGCGCUGCCGCAGCCCUCGUCUUUUCUGCAUGGGAGCUGCAUAUGGGACUGCCAAGAGUGGUGUGGGUGUGGCAUCUAUGGGUGUCAUGAGACCUGAGUUGGUCAUGCAGUCUAUUGUCCCUGUUGUUAUGGCUGGUGUCUUGGGUAUCUAUGGUUUGAUCAUUGCUGUUAUCAUCAGUACUGGUAUUAACCCCACGGCUAAAUCUUACUACCUCUUCGAAACAAAAUUUUUUUCUAAAAAAUGAAUCUAUAAAGAACAGAGGGAGUAUACAAUUGUAUUGUUUUAUCUAUCACCAGAAUCAACUUCAUCAUAUUUUUUCUCAAAACUAAGGAUCUCGGGAAUUGGUCAGUAUACAACUGGUUGGUGCAUGGUACGAAGAGUUUCAUAUAAUAAUUGUUUAGCAAAUGAAUAAGCGAUAAAGUUCUGUCUCAGCUCCAGUAAAAAAAAAAGGUUUUGUCUCAGCAUUCAAUUAUCUUCCUUUGAAGUUUUGUCUCAGCUUCAGUAAAAAAAAGGUCAUGUCUCAGCAUUUAAUUAUCUUCCAUUGAGCAGUUUUAAAUUUCGUUUUGUUUUUUUUUGUAGAGAAUUCUUUUUUUUUGACUAAAUUUGAAAAAGAAAGCCUAUAGAACAUAUCAUAUUCAAGUAAGGUUGUUUGUAGAGGAAAUUUGUUACCAAAAUCUUUAUGUGGUGAAUUUCUUCCUCGAACCAAAGUUGUUCGACUGAAACUUAAAUCUCAGACUAAAACCGAGGAAGAUGAUGAAAGAGAUUUCAAUCUUACAAAUAUAUAAACUAUUAUGUGUUGUUGGUACAUAUCAUACUUUAUAAACAUAAAAUGCUUCCAAAAUAAAUCCAUAUAUAUUUCAAAAUAAUAUCAGAAAUGUUGUUUUCCAUUUUUAACAACUUUUUCUGAAUGUAACCACUCUGUAAUCCAUAUUUAUAAAAUAUAUAAUUGAAAUAAUAAUUUAUUUGUGAAAGUUGUAAAAUUAGAAUUUUGUUAUCAAAUAAUUUAAAAUAUAGUUAUCUUGACCCGGAGUAAUAUUAAUUAUUUAUUUUCAUUAUAAUUAAUUUCUAAAAUGAAUUUUCACAAUCCCUAAUUUUAAAUACUGCACCAACUUAAAUCCCUAAUUUUUUUUCUGAUCCCUAAUUUCAUGGCUCGAUUUCAAAAGAUUACAUCUUUUAUAUAAUUUUCAAUUAACUAUAUUUAUUCUAUCUCUGCCCUUUCUUUUCUCUUAUUGUUAAGAGUUUCAUCUCUUCAUUAUUUUUGGGGUUUGAGUAAAGCAACAAAAAAUUUAUCUAGCUUUAUGAUUACUUUUAUUUAAGUUGUAUGAUUAUAUUUAUAUGAUUCAGCUUGAAGUUGUUUUAGUGGAUUAUGCAAAGGAAGACAAAGAGACAAGAGGCUGCACAAAUAGAUACCAUACCCUGUAAACAAUAAAGUAAAUACUUUUAUCUAAGUUAACCAUGGAAAGUUUCAAUACUAUUGAGUUUUUUUGGUGAAUAUUUGGUUUAUUAUGGAUAUAUGACAAAAUAAAGCUAGCAAAUCCUGCUACUAAAAGCAUCUGCAUCAGUGAACUCCAUGGAAAGUUCACACAGUUUUCGAAAAAAAAAAUAUUAAAAUAAACAAAAGCAAUGAAUCUAUCUCUUGGGAGUUCAUUGCACUGAACCCGGAUCAUCACUGUAGCGCGGGUCCCACGACACGUGGCGGCCCGCGAUUGGUCCGAUUAAUAAUUUUUUUUUUCAAAACAAAUAUUAAACAGAAAAAAUAAUAAUAAAAAAAUACUUUGUGAACCCCUUCCAUAGAGUUCACUAAUGCAGAUGCUCUAAGGAACGUGAGAUGGCAUAUCAGCGGUUCUGUGUGGAUGAGUUUAAAGUGAUAUUCUAAUAAAUAGAAGUAUUUUAGCUUAUUAUCAUUAUAAAUUGUUAUAAUUUCCUAGAUACAUUUACACAGUUUAUGACUUUAUGCAAAUACAAAUUGACAUUAUUUCUUGACACCUAGGAAUAGUAGAAGAAAAUUUUACUUGUGUUGGUACAUUUCAUCCCAAAAAUGUAAUUUUAGUUCGUGUUAAACAUAAUAUCACAUAAAAUUAAGAAUUUUUCUUGUACGUAGUACGGGGCUAGAACACUAGUAUAUAUAUAUUUCAUAGAAGAAGAAAGAGCAGUAUUCUUUUUAGAGCAGCAUUAACGCUGUCUCUUAGUAGAUUUUAAGAACUAUGGGGCCCGCCAAAAAACCAAAACCCAGCUCUUCUUACUCUUCUGCAAGAGGCGAGUUCAGUGAAAUAUUUAUACUGUUUGCGGGCUCCACUGACACAUGGUGGUCAGCGAUUGGUCCAAUUUUAUUUUAUUUUAUUUUUUAAUCGGAUAAAAAAAAUAUAAGAACCCACGCUCCCCGUGACAGCGUUAAUGAUGCUCUUACGUGUUAGCUUUCUCAUUACUGAUAAGACUAUCUCCAAUUCUACACUAUAAUUUUCUCUAUAUUUCACUCUAAAAUAGAGUAACUCUAUUAUAGAGUUGGAUUUGCUCCAAUGGUUCACUCUAUAGUAGAGUUACUCUAUAAUAGAGUGAAAUAUAGAUUAUUCUUGUUUUUUCACUUUAUAUUUGGAGUAAAAAAAUAAGAUUACUCUAUAUUUCACUUUAUUAUAGAGUAACUCUAUUAUAGAGUGAACCAUUGGAGCAAAUUCAACUCUAUAAUAGAGUUAUUCUAUUUUAGUGUAAAUUAUAGAGGAAAAAAUAGAGUCCUCUUGGAGAUGCUCUAAAUAUAUAUAAGUUUAUAUGCAUUAUGUAGCUUAUAAUUAUUUCAGAAGCCAAGCGUAACAAUUAUAUUUUAUUGAAGAAGAAGCUCCUAAUUCUUAUAUGUUAGCUUUGAUACAAAAAUAAACAUAAAGUGCAUUUAAAUCAACAGAUAAGAAGUUUAGGUCAAAAGCCAAGCGUAACAAAAAUAUAAUUCAUGGAAAAGAUACACACCACAAAUGAGUUGUCUCUUCUUAUGUGUUAGCUUUCUGAUCACAGCUCGUUAAAAUCAAAACUAUAAUGAAAGUAUCAAAAGUUUUGUGUUUUAGAUCUGUGUCUUUAAUAGAUCCGAAUUUAAUCUUUUAUUUGUCAAAAAAAUAUCAAAAGUUUUCCAAACACACAAAAAACAUGUUUGAUUAAUAAGAAAAUGCAAAGCACCUCAAAAAUCUAAGUGAAACUUAAAAAAUCCAGAACCAAAAAGAGAAAAAGUUAUACCUGGUUGGCAACAGCUUUGGCCAUCAUCCUAAGACCAACAUUAUCGGCGUAUAUAACGUUGGUCCUUAACGUUUUUAUGUCGAAAAAUAAAUGAAAAGAAAACAAAAAUAAAAGAGACGUGGGUUAAAUAAGAAGUUUUGGGGAGCGUCCUUAUGAGGCACGUGUCAUCACGUUAAGCCUUUAGGUUUCCUUUUCUCCGUUCCUCUUUGUCUCGACUGCGAUUUCGUCGACACAGCUUCGUGUUCGAUCAAUCGACACCGUUCUCCGGCGAAUCGAAUCUAAAGCAUCUCCGGCGAAUCGAAUCUAUUUCACAGCGAAUCAAACAGCAGGUAUUUGUUCAUCUCUCGUGUCCUCCGUUAUGCGUUUUAAAAGCCGAUCUAUCUCCCAAAACUUGGUGAUUUUUUUUUCUGUUACAACGGUUUCAAAGCUGUCUUUCUGUUUGUAGGCGAUAGACGAGUUACUGACCGCUCAGACCGUUCAAUCACGACGAUAUCUCACUUCAUCGAUAGCUUGGCCCCAAAACAAUUAAAGAAAACUAAGGACUCAAUAAGUCCUACCAAUAAUCUUCUAAAUUUCAAAAAUCCUUAUAUUUGUCCUAAACUACAAUAUAUUCAUUAAAUAUGUUAAGGACUUGGUUUGGGACAAAACCAAUAAUGUUGCUCUUAGGGAACUCAGAGAACCACAACACAUUGGUCCUUGUGUCUUUUAUGUUUGACAAACCUGAACCCACAGGGCAACACAAAAAAAAAAAAUCCAAAACUUGAUGCUAUCAGAAUUCAAAAAUCAAGAGACCAACAAUAUUUAUAGUCAAAAAAGAUCCAAGAUUACUAGCUGAUUCAAACUAAAGCAGACAUUUUUUUAAAAAGUCACAUCGCUCAUACAAAAAUGAAGAGUUUAGGCAAAAGAUGUAAGCUUUACAGAAGUAAGGCUUGAUUUUUAAUCAUGCCAGAGUUGACUUUCAACCAAUAACAAUACAUGCUAGUAGCAUUGAGAGAGAGAGAUAGAGAGGUUCUUCUUUCUUUGACACAAAAGAAGAAGAAACUGUAAUUAUUUUUAUUUAUAUUCAUUCAAGCCCGAAUGAGCAGAUAUUUACAAGAGAUUAUCUUUUACCACUCACUGAUUAUAACAGCUUUAUUUAUUUAUUUAUCAGAUGUAUCAUCCUUUUAACAUAACCACAACUGCUUAUUAUUAUAGUAUAUAUUUUCGAAUCUUUUCCCUCACUCAUCACUUCUUGGAUCCUUUUUUCGCUGCCGCCUUUUUGAGCUUAUUGAUCCGCUCGCGGUCCACAUCUUUCUGAGUGUUUGCGAGCCUUGCCACGCAGUUGAGCUCUUGUUUAGCGUUUUUCCUGGCUUCUAUCUCCUUAGCCUUGGCUUUGCCACGGGCUUCACGCUCCUUCUUCUCAGCAGCUUUCUGUGCAUCAGACUUCUUGAACAAUUUUGCAACAGCUUCCAUAUUAAAUCCCAUUUUAUCUCUCAGUACACAAAAUGAAAGAAUAGAACACACUUAUUUAUACUACAAAGUAUCUAUAGCUACACCUACCAGUUCACAUUUUUUUUCCUUUAGCUUUGAUUCUUUUGUUAGUUUCACCAAACAGUUUUCACCGGUUGAGUUAUUUCAUUACUCUUAUGUUUCCUAACAUACUAGUAUAUAUAUUCUUUGUUUUUUUUUUGUAAACUAUGUACUUGUUAUUUUUUUUAAGAAUUCUAAAAAUAAAAACACUAACCACUGACUACCUAAAAUGAAAAAAAGGACAAAUUAACUCAUCUUCUUUAAAGUACGUAGCAUGUAUAAGGAGAACUGAAUGGUAGUUUAUCACACUCGAAAUUGGGGGUCAUGCAAAACUCGGUGUAAAUUAUCUAUUUUAUAUUACAAUUAUAUAUGAAAUUCGGGUACAGAGCUAUAGGACAUAAGUCUUUGGUUAAUAAGGGAGUUUGUAAACUAUAUUUACAAGCAACCGCAAAUACGAAUAGAAGAGUAUUUAUUUUUAAGAUAUAAAUAAAGAAUUUUUACUUCUUCUUUCUUUUUAGAACAAGAAAAAUAGAAUUAUAUACUUGUCAUUUAAAAAAAAGAAUUAUAAACAGAAAAACACCAACAACUGACUACCAAAACAGAAAAAGAAACAAAUUAACAACCGUUCAUCGUCUUUAAUUUACUGUCUACUAAUCGGAACUUCCUAAUUAUAUACUAUAUAUUAUUAUUUUUUAUAAACUACAUAUAUACAUAUAUAUAUAUAUAUAUGCAUAUUCUUAUAAUUAUGAUCACCAACUAGUCUAUAGUUAACUGACCCAAAAAGUACGUACGUACGUAGCAUGUAUAAGGAGGAUUGAAUGGCGGUUCUUCAGUAUGUUUGGUCAACCUCAUGUCUUUUUGCAACCUUCUGUGUGUGUUAAUGAUAUAACUUUUGAAUAUUGUUUUUGUAAAUUUUUAUGAUGCUUUUUUUUAUUAAGUUCUGUUGAGCAACUUAAAUAUUAUACGUGUUUAUAAGCUAAUUUACCUGUUAUUUUGGAAAUAAUUUUUUAACACAUAUCGUAAUCACAUCUAUCAAAAUACUUUUAUUUUGUAUUUUUUUUCUUUUUGGAAAAUUACUUAAUAUAAUUAUAUAUUUAUAACAAAAUCUUUCGUUCUUUUAAUUACAACAUAACAUGACACAUUUUUCUAGUCCAAAAUCUCAUGGAAAAAAACACAUAAGAAAAACCAUAUUUUGUCAACAUUAAUAAUUAACUAUAGAUCUGCUUCAGAAAAAAAAGAAGUUAGUUUUGUUAAUAUUAAGCCAUCGCUGUGUAGGUGUUUCCGAUUAAGGAAAGAAAUCAUAAUUCAGUGAGUUUCCAAAUACAUCAGUUAAUUAAAACAAAUAAGCCAUACUCAUUGUCAUAACUUUACUGAUAAACUACUACUAAUAUGUCUCAAAAUCCUCUUCUCAAAAGCUUCAAAAUCUCAAUACAACAUCUUCCAUUAGCUUUACUUUCUACAGUAAAGAAAAAGGCUUUGGUGAUAUACUCUCAACAAGCUAUAAGAGAAAGCAAUACGAUACAUGUUUGAUGCGUAAGGUUUCCAGAUUGUCUAGAAAAACUCUUUGGGGAUGUUGUACUAAGCCACGUAACCAUUUCUGUUCACACGAGGGUAAGAAUCUUAAAAAAAACGAUUCCCAUACCAACCUUUAAUCAGAUAAAUUUAUUUGGAGCAUCUACACACACACACUGCCCACUCCGCAUAACACCGAACCAAACUGGGAAAGUGAAAUUCAAGCAUCUCAAGAGUUUCAGACAACACAAGCCUUGUAUCGCAAGAAAGCAGACAGGAAACUUUAUAGCGGAAUAGAGAGGCACUAAUCUUCUUCCUACCCCUAUAGACAGAUUGAAAAAAUAGACUUACUAGAGUCAGCAUGUCCUGAAGAUAGCCACGAAAUGGGGUCUGUACCGCCUGGAUAUGGAAUAACAACCUCAAAUUACAAGUUACAACAUUCAAAUGACCAGUUACAUUAUUAUUGAUAUGUAGCCUUAACAUGCAAUCACCGUUUCAUAACCUUAACCUAUCAAUUUCCACAAACUUCUACCAAAAGACAGCCUUAGAGCGUGUUAACAUUCAAUAUUCGCAUUGAGAGAGACAGAGAGAGGUUUUAUCUUUCUUUGACACAAAAGAAGAAGAAACUGUAAUUAUUUUUAUUUAUAUUCAUUCAAGCCCGAAUGAGCAGAUAUUUACAAGAGAUUUUCUUUUACCACUCACUGAUUGUAACAGCUUUAUUUAUUUAUUUAUCAGAUGUAUCAUCCUUUUAACAUAACCACAACUGCUUAUUAUUAUAGUAUAUAUUUUCGAAUCUUUUCCCUCACUCAUCACUUCUUGGAUCCUUUUUUAGCUGCCGUCUUUUUGAGCUUAUUGAUCCGCUCGCGGUCCACAUCUUUCUGAGUGUUUGCGAGCCUUGCCACGCAGUUGAGCUCUUGUUUAGCGUUUUUCCUGGCUUCUAUCUACUUAGCCUUGGCUUUGCCACGGGCUUCACGCUCCUUCUUCUCAGCAGCUUUCUUUGCAUCAGACUUCUUGAACAAUUUUGCAACAGCUUCCAUAUUAAAUCCCAUUUUAUCUCUCAGUACACAAAAUGAAAGAAUAGAACACACUUAUUUAUACUACAAAGUAUCUAUAGCUACACCUUCCAGUUCACAUUUUUUUCCUUUAGAGCAUCUCCAAAAAGGAACUCUAUUUUGAAGUUUCCAAAACUCUAUAUUUGAAGUUUCAAUGUGUUAUUCUCCAAAAGUAAAACUUCAUACAUAACUUCAAAAUUAUUUAUAUUUUACACUAUGGUCCUUAUAUUUGUCAUAGUUGAUGUAAAUUCAUAAAACUUCUAUAAUUAACUAGUACAUAUAUAUAAAUAUUAAUUAAAAAAAAUUUACACUAAAAUAUAAAAUUAUAAAUAAAAGUACAUAAUUAAUAUUAAACUGCAAGCAAAUAUUACAUUAUUCCAUAAAAUUAUUUCUAUAAUGCUCCCAUAUAUGAUCAACUAGUGCAUUUCGAAGUAAGAAAUGAUUCUCUUUAUUUUUUAUUUGUAGAUUACGAGCAAAAAAAAUGUUGAAAUUGAAUAUCCUCAUAAUAUGGCUGCUGAUAGUUUGAUAUCAUCAAACGAAAAAAAUCCUUGAUCUUUUAAAAGAAAGUACAACAAGCACGGAAAAAGGUCAUGAGAUGAUUGAAUUACGACUGCAAAAUGAAGCAAAAAAGUUAGCUUUUAAAGAAGUAAAAGACAACAAUAAAAUAUUGCUAAAAAACUUAGCUUCUAUCAAUGAUGUUAAUAUUCGUGAAUACAUUCAAUCUGAACAAGAAAGAAUCAUACGAAAAAUGCGUCAAGAGCAACAACAACAAUCAUCUUCGGUUACACAAAAUUUGUUUGAACAAUAUUUUAGAGAUUUUGGAGGUUCCAGAGCAAAUUUACCAUACUAUUAGCGUUGUUAUAAUAUUUAAAUUUGAGUAAUAAUUAUGUCUUCAUGUGUCUUUUUAAUAAGUUUUUAUUAUGGUUUUUUGUAAUAUUCUUGUUGUUUAAUUCUAGUUUUAAAAUAUUAUAAAUCUUGUUUUAAAUUUUUUUAUUUAAUUUCAUGUGUAAAACUUAAAUUUAUAAAAGAAAUUUGAAAUAUUUAUGAGAUAUAAAAGUUUUAAGGAUUAAAACAAUAAAC